rnacentral:lncRNA from 1 species
UUCCAACUAAAAGAUAUAUGCAAUAGAAUAUUCCUUCUAUGUUUGUAUUAUUAGUAUAUGAAAACAAAUCCUAUACACAUGGAGAUCACUCAUACACAACAAGUAACCGCUACUUUAUAUAAUAGAAUAGGAAAAGUCCUUUGUUUCAUCCAUAUCUCUGCCUUAUAUACUUAGGUCAGAAAUAUAUCUCACAACCAUCUUAUCCAUUUUUCUUCUUCUUCUUCUAAUUAUUGCAGCAGAAAAAAAAUCUUCAUGAGGGUCUUAAGGUUGAACUAUUUUCUUCUGGGAUUGUUGGAGCCAUGGCCAGAUGAUGGCACAAGGAAGUGAGGACACCUCACACAAGAAGUAUGCCUCUAGGCAAGUCUGAUGCUUGGCUUUUCAUCUCUGUUUGUUGGUUUAAUUUCCUCAGAAUCAAGUAAGGCAUGGGAUUGAAUAUUGUUUACUAUAGUAUAUUUAUAUCAUUAUCAUCAUAUAUCAUGUUAUGAGAUAUUAUUAUAAGUUAUCUAUUUCACUUUGUCAUUGAAACAACUCUGUUGGGAUGAUAAUGACAUAUAUAUUAUAUAUGUAGCCUUUUCUGCUAUGUCAUAGCUGCAUUUAUAUUACAGAUUGUAUGAAUUAAAAUCAAUUUUUUUUCCUGCUCGUAUUGAUCCAUAUUGUAGGAGAGACACUUCAGAUUAAAGGUGUAUUAACACGACACGGACAUAUGUAUUCAAUUACUUGUCGUGUUCGUAUUUUUUAGGUAUUUAUUAUGUAUAUAUGCAUCUGGCAUGGCCAUGGAAAGGUCAGAAAACUAACAACAGCAAAAGAAUAUUGCUUUAUCUGUAAAUUAAUUAACCAGAUAUAGUACUAUGUUUAAAAUAAUAAAAUCAUGUCGUCCUUUCUAGCUUUACAUUAUUAAAAGUACUAAUUAAUAGUCUAUGAGUUUAUGACUUAUUGUAGUGUAUGUGGAAAGGGUGAGAAAUAGUAAAUAAAUUUAUUUUGACGAAAAAUAGUAAACAAAUUGGAACUUAUAAAUAAAACGGAGUAAAAGAAAAGAAGCAUGAAGCAGCCGGCCACUACCUAUAUGCAAAGUUCGGUUGAAUACAAUGCAAGAUAAUAUUAUUAAGCACAUACAAAUUUCUCAAUAGGAAUAUAAAGCAUGUAACAAAGCAUCAUCUUGUCCAAAUAGUUGGAAGAAUUAAUUAAUACUUGUGGAAAAGUUGUUUGAAGGUAUAUUAUUUGCAGGUUUAUUUUAAAUGCAAGUUAUUGAGUGUUGUUAAUAUUGCUCCGCACAUCAUAGUAUCAUAUCGAUGUGAGUUUGAUAAAAUCCACAGCAAAUACUACAUAAGGUUAUUAAGAGUGAGUGAAAUAUAUUGUUUACUUUGUUCAACAACCAUGGCGUGCCCGAAUGGUAUCUUGCAUUUUAAGUCACCGAAAAUAUUUAUCUUUAUCAUACUAUUCUUUCUUUAUUUUUUUUUUUAAAGAAUAUCAAUCUUAAUAUUACUAUUGACAAUGUUAAUUAGGAUAAUUAUUUUAAUUUGUUUCCUAAUGAAACUUUUACUCAUGACCAUUUGUUUGUAGUGGGGAAAUGCUAAUUAGGCAAGGUGGUACUUUUUCAACAUAAAUCCAAAUUAAAGACAUAGAUCUGUAGUUUUCUCCAAUAACUUAGUUCUUAUCUACCACACUUUACUUGAGGAUAAGCAUGAUAAUUCCAUAAUCAACUCUACCAUCCAUUGUCCAUUAUCUAAUUCAUUCAUUAAUUAUCCAUUUUUUAAAGAUAAUAGAUAUGGGUUAGAGUCCAAGUGUCCCACCUGGAAGAAAAUGAUGUGCACCAACAAACAAAAGAGUCCAAGUUAGUUUAAUGAUAAUCUGGCCUAUCAUUAAGCUAACUUUUACCGCCUUAUGAGUCAUCAAAAGGAAAUAAAGACAAACCAAACAUGACGACUAGUUUAUUUGAUUAGAUCAAGGAGAAUUUGAUCAAGACUUGAUAAAUUCCAUAAUCCAAUAUAAGGGUCCAACAUUGUCUUUUGAUACUUUCCAUUCUUUUGUUUUGACUUCAAGUGGCAAACAUGGAAUGGAUGUUUCCCUUGUGAACUUUUUGAAUGAUGAAUGAGUUUGCUUGAAUUAUGGAUAUAUAUCCACAUAACAUGUUUAGGUAAAAAUUUGGAAAUAGAUUUGACGCGGUCAAUAAUCACAGUCGUU